rnacentral:lncRNA from 1 species
GCCAUACACUUCAGCAGAGUUUGCAACUUCUCUUCUAAGUCUUUAUCCUUCCCCCAAGGCAUGCCUAGCACAGGACUCUUGAACAGUGAUGCCUCAAUUAGAGUUGCUAGCCAAUAGAUUGAAGCUAUGUUGGCACAAUAUCCUACAUCCUCCCGAUCUACUGGCUGAGCCCAACCCCACCUAAGAAGGACAAUAAAGAUCUGUGUUCAGAGUCAUACUGAAUAGAGACUUCUGGACUCUAUAGAACCCACUGCCUCCUGAUGAAGUCCCUACUGUUCACCCUUGCAGUUUUUAUGCUCCUGGCCCAAUUGGUCUCAGGUAAUUGGUAUGUGAAAAAGUGUCUAAACGACGUUGGAAUUUGCAAGAAGAAGUGCAAACCUGAAGAGAUGCAUGUAAAGAAUGGUUGGGCAAUGUGCGGCAAACAAAGGGACUGCUGUGUUCCAGCUGACAGACGUGCUAAUUAUCCUGUUUUCUGUGUCCAGACAAAGACUACAAGAAUUUCAACAGUAACAGCAACAACAGCAACAACAACUUUGAUGAUGACUACUGCUUCGAUGUCUUCGAUGGCUCCUACCCCCGUUUCUCCCACUGGUUGAACAUUCCAGCCUCUGUCUCCUGCUCUAGGAUCCCCGACUCAUUAAAGCAAAGAGGCUUA